UACGUAGGGCGCAAGCGUUGUCCGGAAUUAUUGGGCGUAAAGAGCUCGUAGGCGGUUUGUCGCGUCUGCUGUGAAAGCCCGGGGCUCAACCCCGGGUCUGCAGUGGGUACGGGCAGACUAGAGUGCAGUAGGGGAGACUGGAAUUCCUGGUGUAGCGUUGAAAUGCGCAGAUAUCAGGAGGAACACCGAUGGCGAAGGCAGGUCUCUGGGCUGUAACUGACGCUGAGGAGCGAAAGCAUGGGGAGCGAACAGG
rnacentral:rRNA from 1 species